UCCCUCUCAGAACUGCACCUGGAGAGUUUCCAGUACUCUACCAGCCUCAGCUACAGAAGGGAGAGUCAAGCAGAGGCAUACCCAUUCCAUUCCUAGCUUGGCAAGUGGCUAGUGGGUGGAAGGCAAUGUGCUACAAGU
rnacentral:snoRNA from 1 species